UUCCCGAUAUCGAUGGAUCUUCGCUCGUAAGAUCAUUCUCCCGAUGGAUCUUUCGAACCAUCGAUAAUUUCUUUGUCGCGUUUCCCGAAACUCCUCUUAACGUGAACGCGCAUUCGCUGCACUCACGACGUCGUACACUCAAAAAAAUGAUUUUUUGCCAUAAUAAACUUUAAGCUUAACAUUUAAAUUAAACCUGUUUAAAGUAAAUACAUCAUAUAUUAUAUUCUUCCAUAUUCAUUAAAUACAACAUAAACCAGUUCAAUAGGAAAUUAAAUCUGAUUUAUUCACAUUAAGUCUAUUUAAUCGUUUCACUGGAAUUCAUUGGAUCCACCUGAAGCCACUCUUUCAUUCCUGAACCAGCAGACCUCGUGCUGAUAAAUGGACCGAGUUUGGUAUUCUCUCUUUGGAUUUACUUUGUGAAAACCAGGGCAACCUCUUAAUAGUUUGUGUGAAUGUGGGAGUGUAAACUUUGUGACAUAUCACCAGUAUCAAGCAGGCUCCUUGUUGUCGUAAUAAAUAUGGAUAAUUGCUCUAAU